UCUGAAAAAGAGAUCAUUCGUAUUACGAUCGCUUACGUUAAUUGUAAUUGUUAAUUGUUUGUAAUUUGGUUUUGUAUUCUUGUUCUUCUUUUUCUUUUCCUUUUAUUUCAUAUACUACCUUAAAUGAGACAUAGCGUAAAAUGUAAGAAUCAAAAUUUCAUAAUAACAACACAAUUGUAUUUUCAUUCGACAAGGCACAGGAUAUUCUCGAUUUCUUUUGUCACCGAAUGCUUUCCGGGAUAAUGGAUCAGAGUAGAGAAGCGAUAGUGAGUAAAGGCUGACUAAUCAGCCACCUCCGGAACUGGAAUUUUCUUGUGAAUAGGAUGACUAAUCUCGAUUCUUGAAAAGAGCUAUGCAGCUAUAUGAUCACCUGCACCCGUCUUAUACUCGCGUAUAUUAGCUUAAAUUCUUUUUAGAUACGUUGUCCCUCGAUGAGAUGAUCGAAAUCGACCUUCUCAUUUUUUUCUUUCAUUCGUGCACGCGUUCUAUGACAUACAUGUAACAUUUUGCACGAUGCAACUAAACGUUAACGUGAGCAUAGAUUGAGCUCUAUCGAGAAAAAAUAUCUGUGUCAUGCAACGUCAACGAUUUCAUAAAAAAAGUGACUUGAUGUUAAUCUCGCAAAAUCCAUUGAAAAAUAAUUAUUAUUUAUUUACAUUUAAUCAUUGUUUAUUUAUACUUCGAUUCUUUUUUCAAACAAAUAUGUUUAAUUAAAAUUAUAUGCAUAUAGUUAAUGAGUUUACUUUGUAAGCUAUUUAAAUUAAUGCAGAUCCGUAGAAAACGGCGUUUUGCGUUCUCCUUUAAACCGACAGAGUAUCUUAGUUAUUUGUAACGUCGUAGAAGGCAAGACCUUCCGUAUUAUGAGACAUCUUGUGCAUAUAAAGUACUCGUCGGCUACAUUGGAAUAUUAAUCGUCAAUGUACGUGCGUUCGUGCGUGAAUGACUCAUCCAAGGGGCCAAAGGGGACGGAACAUGCAUCACCAUGGGCAUUUUAACACAGAUGCCCCGUACGGCGCGUGCCCUCGAACCAAUCGGACGCCCCUAUGCUGCUUCCGUAACGGCAACCACGUCUGCACGAGUCAUUUUCCUAUGACCCCCUCUCGAUCGAGAGGACUACAAAACGAGGAGAAGAGUCACACCUGGCCCUUAAAAGUUCUCUCUCCAUUGGUGUGAUUUUGUGACGCUUCGCUAGACUUUACCAUUUACAUACUCAUAUCCGUGUAUAUGUGCAUCUAUUAUUAAAGAAGGAUAAUCGUAUAUCUCAAA